rnacentral:lncRNA from 10 species
AGUUUUACUUUACCUGCAUCACUCUUCCUCCAAGGUGGCAAAAUUCAGUGCCAAAAAAGACCUACAAUUUCUCUCAUAGAGGAAAGUGAGAGCACAGUGAGAAACUAAACUGGAUUGCUGCUGUUGCCUUAAGAGGAAGUUCAGUAGACAUCAUUGGGGGAUACUGAUGAUCAUAAGGCUUUAAGGGAUAAUGGAACCACAGUGUGGAAUGGGUCCCUGAAUGACCACAUGCAGAAGAACCAACCCAACCUGAAGACACUCCUGGAACUAUUAA